rnacentral:ncRNA from 1 species
UCCGGGCCAGAAGCGACGCGUUGUCCGCCGCUCGUUUGCCGACCAGCAGUAGGGGCCCUCCGGCCCCCAAAGGCACGUGUCGUUGGCUAAGCCCUCGCGGCGGACGAGCCGCGCGGGCCGCCUUGAAUUACAAUUUCCACCGGGCGGCGGACUGAAUCCUUUGCAGACGACUUAAAUACGCGACGGGGUAUUGUAAGUGGCAGAGUGGCCUUGCUGCCACGAUCCACUGAGAUUCAGCCCUUCGUCGCUCCGAUUCGU